GUCUAUAGUCAUGCUACCCUGAACAAGCCCGAUCCCAUCUGAUCUCAGAAGCUAAGCAGGGUCGGGCCGGGUUAGUACUUGGAUGGGAGACCACCUAGGAAGACCAGGUGCUAUAGGCA
rfam:Pteropus alecto contig164954, whole genome shotgun sequence.